CAGUCUGCCCCUGGUAUGGAGAGGCACCGUGUGUGUGUGUGUGUGUGUGUGUCUGUUGUGUAGCACCAACCCAGAGUGUGUUCCCAUUUUGUCCUGAUUCUUGUGUUUUUUUCUUCGUCAUUUGUCAAAUGUCUACUACCGCACACUUGAGCACUUGGAGCUGACUUUCAGUGUUCGAAGUGCGCCACUGACAAAACCAGCAGAAUUCAGAGCACUGAAAGUACCCGGAUGGCGCUCUGCAAACGGGCAGAACAUGUAAAACGAUGGACACUACUCGCUCUAAACGGCCGCCAUCUUGGCUACGUAGCGGAAGAGGAGGAGCCCUUUCGCCAGCUUUUCAUUUUAUUUCUAAAACAAUGGCGGACAGCACAAGCGGUAGACCACGAAGCUACAGACCGUGAAUAGACGUUUCCUGGAGGUGCUGCUGGUCCUCUGCUGCCCUCCCGACAUCUGGCUCCAAUGACCUCUGGCACCUCACAUCCACCUCCAGGGCCUUUAAGAAGAUGGACCGCCAUCGCGUCUUCAGUAUCCCGAAGGACCUCUCCACAACACGCCUCGCCUUUGACAGGCAGCGGUUGUAGCUUGGAGGUGGACAGGCUGCCUGAAGGGGGUCAUGAGGCAGAUGGGUUGGGACAGGCAGGGGGAGCCACCAUCCCCAAGGAUACAGUAUCCUGGUGGAGGGGAUGACUGCUCAUUGAAGAUGGGGCUGUUAUUCAGGACCCUGGCAUCAUGCUCUGAGUCUGGGUAGCCCACACACACUUCUAUGAAUUUGCACUUAUCAUCACAGAUGGCCUGCAGCUGGAUGGAAUGAAAAAGCUUCCUGUUAAAAUAGCAGCAUCCUCCGCUGGGGGCUUCACUCUGACGUGGCAGCCAUCAAUAGCCCCCACCACUGAAGGCUGCCGACCAGCUAGACGGGCGAAGCGGGCACCUCGGCGUGGGAGUUCCUCUCCUGUAGGGUGGUGGACAACGGUGUCCAGGAGCGAUCUGCCCACUCAUCCUGUGCACCAGCCGGUGAACGGUGGCCUGUCGAAGGCCCUGGCCACCACCCGAUAGGAGGUGGCGCUGGCAAGCCAAAAAAUAAAAACUAGACGGGAGAUCUCGGGGCCCCAACCGUGGUCACAGUCAGUGCCCAGCACAGCCAUGAGGGCGUUGAAUGACUCGGGUGAGCCUGAAGUCCACCCUCAUGUCACUGUGGCCAUCACAACACAACGCCAGCAGUGGCAUUGCAACAUUGAUACGGCAGCGCCGCCUGGGACUGGGUGGCUGCUGUAGAGUGUGUGGGGAGGGGAAGGGAAGAUUAUAUUAAUAUGUAAGUCAUUUUAUCAAUAAAAUGUUGUCAUUGA